GAUGAACGCUGGCGGCGUGCCUAAUACAUGCAAGUCGAGCGAACAGACGAGGAGCUUUCUCCUCUGACGUUAGCGGCGGACGUGUUAGUAACACGUGGAUAACCUACCUAUAAGACUGGGAUAACUUCGGGAAACCGUAGCUAAUACCGGAUAAUAUAUUGAACCGCAUGGUUCAAUAGUGAAAGCCGGUUUUGCUGUCACUUAUAGAUGGAUCCGCUCCGCAUUAGCUAGUUGGUAAGGUAACGGCUUACCAAGGCAACGAUGCGUAGCCGACCUGAGAGGGUGAUCGGCCACACUGGAACUGAGACACGGUCCAGACUCCUACGGGAGGCAGCAGUAGGGAAUCUUCCGCAAUGGGCGAAAGCCUGACGGAGCAACGCCGCGUGAGUGAUGAAGGUCUUCGGAUCGUAAAACUCUGUUAUUAGGGAAGAAAAAAUGUGUAAGUAAAUAUGCACGUCUUGACGGUACCUAAUCAGAAAGCCACGGCUAACUACGUG
rnacentral:rRNA from 1 species